ensembl:lncRNA
GUAAAACCACAAGAACCACCUCCCCCCUAGAAACAAGGUUAAAAACAUGUUUUUUGGAGAACUUUAAUUUUCAGCUAGGUGCUGGCCGAUGUGGUAUUAGCAGUCUCAUCUGAGAUUAUAAAACCAUUCAAUUAGCAAUCCCCGAAAAAAAGUGAUGAGGAGUGGCAUAUUGUUUAUGAUAUCUUACCUUGUUAACAUUACAGAUUUCAUAUGCAAAGACUGUAUAAGAUCAGAACCGACUUGGUGGUGUUGGUUCCUUCUUCUUGGAUACACUCUCUUUGUCACCACAGUUAUCAUAGCUUUUGGUGUAAG